rnacentral:lncRNA from 1 species
AAAAAUAUUAAUUUAUUAAUACAACAUAAAAGUAAUAAAGGACAAUAUAUAAAAAUAUUUGAAGUAUUUGAUAUUUUAUUAAAUUAAAAUAAUUCUAAAUUAAUAUAUAGCCGCGCAACGCGCGGGUACGUAUACUAGUGAAGAACAAUAAUAAAGAAGAAGACAAUUGAGUUAAUAUUUAUUUUUUCCAAGUUUAUUUUAACACAUGACCAAUUUUUAUUGGUCAGUGCUGUCUAAAAGCUGCACCCACGCGCUUAACAUAGGUGAAAUCACGGACUCAGCCACGUAGGCCGAAAAGUGGUAAACAAUUAACUAAAAAAUAAGUUCAGGGGGGU